GAUGAACGCUAGCUACAGGCUUAACACAUGCAAGUCGAGGGGAAACGAUAGAGAAAGCUUGCUUUUUCUAGGCGUCGACCGGCGCACGGGUGAGUAACGCGUAUCCAACCUGCCCAUCACUUGGGGAUAACCUUGCGAAAGUAAGACUAAUACCCAAUGAUAUCUCUAGAAGACAUCUGAAGGAGAUUAAAGAAUUAUCGGUGAUGGGUGGGGAUGCGUCUGAUUAGCUUGUUGGCGGGGUAACGGCCCACCAAGGCGACGAUCAGUAGGGGUUCUGAGAGGAAGGUCCCCCACAUUGGAACUGAGACACGGUCCAAACUCCUACGGGAGGCAGCAGUGAGGAAUAUUGGUCAAUGGACGAGAGUCUGAACCAGCCAAGUAGCGUGCAGGAUGACGGCCCUAUGGGUUGUAAACUGCUUUUAUAAGGGAAUAAAGUGAGUCUCGUGAGACUUUUUGCAUGUACCUUAUGAAUAAGGACCGGCUAAUUCCGUGCCAGCCGCCGCGGUAA
rnacentral:rRNA from 1 species